CGUGUAGGCGGUCUGCUAAGUCUGAUGUGAAAGCCCGGGGCUCACCCCCGGAAGGGCAUUGGAAACUGGCGGACUCGAGUCCCGGAGAGGAGGGUGGAAUUCCUGGUGUAGCGGUGAAAUGCGUAGAUAUCAGGAGGAACACCGGUGGCGAAGGCGGCCCUCUGGACGGUGACUGACGCUGAGACGCGAAAGCGUGGGGAGCAAACAG
rnacentral:rRNA from 1 species